AUCACUUCUCGGCCUUUUGGCUAAGAUCAAGUGUAGUAUCUGUUCUUAUCAGUUUAAUAUCUGAUACGUCCUCUAUCCAUUAUAGCUGAUUUACAGUGUUCUGUCAGUUUUCUACUGCACAGCGAGGUGACCCAGUCACACGAUUUUUUUUCUAACUCUAUCAUUUCUAAGAUGGUACUUUACUUAAGGAAGAGCUUCU
rnacentral:snRNA from 1 species